CCUACGGAGGCAGCAGUGGGGAAUAUUGGACAAUGGGCGAAAGCCUGAUCCAGCAAUGCCGCGUGAGUGAUGAAGGCCCUAGUGUUGUAAAGCUCUUUUACCCGGGAUGAUAAUGACAGUACCGGGAGAAUAAGCUCCGGCUAACUCCGUGCCAGCAGCCGCGGUAAUA
rnacentral:rRNA from 1 species